ensembl:lncRNA
AACAGGGUAGGCUACCAUGAAUAAAAGUUUCCUAAAUGGCACGAUUAUGUCAGAUACGUUUUUUCUUUGUGAUCUCUGUAGGCAAGGGGACAGUUUCCAUGGAAAUACAAAGUAGCUGUAAACAUAGAGGGGGAAGUGAAGCAGGAAGUGGCUGACCCUGAUGACGCAGUUGAUGUCUUUUGAGAGGACGGGCAUGCAAAUUUGACACGUUUCUACCAUGUGCUUUUCAAUGCUGCAUGUAAAUUUUGCAAGUGCACAAAACAAAGCAGUAUUUGACUGGAUUUUAGAAAUGCUGAUUUUAUGUUGGUGGCGGCACGUAAGUUACCUUUAUCACCGAACAUAACUUUAAUCAUGCCGCUCCAAAAUUGUUAUUUCCCCUUUAUCAAAAGCACAUGCAUUUCAACGUGUUUAAAAUGAGCCACUCCACCCUCAGCUUCAGUUUCCUCUGUCAAACCACAGUAGGACACACAUUUUUGCAUCAGCCGUUACUAUUGCAGUCAUUGGCUGCUAGGGUAACACGAGUCACAAAGAUCGGCAAAGAUUACUGGCUGUCCAAGAUGUCAUGCCACCACUCCCCAAACCCCACACCCACAUUACCACUGCGAACUAAAAGUAAAACAUUAUGUCAUACUUCUGCAUGAGAUAUUUUAGACAUUAUUGCCUGAUGUGUUUUCAGUGGGAUGCUGGUACAGCAAAUUCAUUCAUUUUAUUUUUUUUACACCAGCCACUCACAAUGCCCAUUUAUUGACCUUCCUGGGCAGGGCUCCCAGAGAAAACGGCUAAAUAAACAGGCAGGUUUCCAUGCAUGUGCAGCAGUUAAGCUGGCAGGAUGCAAGGGUUCCAGAGGUGGGACGACCGCUGACAAGAUUAGUGGCAUCACGCCGGCACGGCAGUGUGGAGAGAGGGGCAGGAAGGAGCUUUUCCAGACUGCUGACCAAACCUUAUCCGCUGACGGCAACCGCUUGGUGGGGACGGUUUGGCCCUUCCUUCCCCCUCUGAUGGGAAACAUGGAGCACGAACGGGAAACACCCACGGGGUCUCUGAGCUGCAUUCCGGCUGUCAAAAGGAGGCCGUGGAACAUUUAACAGGCAAUUAAACAGUCACUCAUAUUAUUUAUGAUCUGACUUUGCUCUGGGCACUACACAAACUUCAGUAUGAGCAUGUGUGACAAGUACAAAGUGGAGUCUUAGAAACUGAUAGGUGAUAAAUAGCUACAGUUGAAGCUUCUCUUGGUAUGUUACAGUGUCUCUGCAGAUAAUAUCUUCACAAUUGAAUGCAUACAACUUAUAUUAAUAUGUAUAUUAUCCCAAGUUUCCUCAGAUCAGAGCAGUGUUUUCUAUGCAUGUAUAAUUUGUGGAUGUCAUGUUUAUGCAUUUUAAAUUAGUUACACAAUUUCUGGCCACUUGUAAAGGUGUUAUGUAAUCAGAGGAUCUUUGGAUUUACUGUUUUAUGCCGUUCUGUAGACAUGUAUUACUAUGAUCAACAAAAAUACAUUCACCCGACCUUUUAGGUGGCACAAAUCCCAAAGCUCGCACUUAACACAGACCGAAUCCGGCGCACACAUAUUUAUAAACUUCCGAGACUUGCAUUUCUGGCAAAAAAUGAAUUGGAAGUGUUCCUCCCAAUCAAUCCAUUCUUUGUAUUGUGGGGGUUGUGGGAAUUCUUGCCUUUUGCAUGACUCAAGGCCGCUGUCCUCAGAGUUGGACAUCUUCUAGAACAUUCCAGACAAGCCUAGAAGUUUACUGCUCUCCGAUUUCUGUCUGUGGUUUGGCAUAGCUGUUCGUAAAUUACUAUCGGAAGUCUGCACGCUUGUUUUGCUUUGAGAGAGAGUUCAAGGAACGUUUUGUACCCAAUUAAAAUGUAAAUACUAAAAGAUGUAACAUUUUGGCUUCUGCCUCUUUUAUGGGAGGUCUUGUUUUGUUUUCAAAUAAUAGAGGUGGAAUGCCCUGACACUGUGGAAACCUCUUAUUAAAGUGUCUUAUGUAACACAUCCUAAAUAUAACACAUACAUUUACACCCUAAAUUGAACAUUUUAAUGUAAAUGAAAUGCCCAUAAUUGGAUAAAAUGUAAGUGAUUAACAAUAAUAAAUAAAUACAUUUAAUUAACCCUUUAGUGUUU